GCGGAGAGGGAGGAGGAGGAGAAGCGAGAGCAACCGUGGCAGCGAGAGAGGGAGCAGCAGCGACGUCCUCGCCUCCUUCGACUCGCCGCCUUUGGCUCUCGCUCUCGCUCUCGCUCGCUAGAGGAUUAUUGAAUGUAUAGAAGAGUUUGUUGGGGAAGUGUUUGGGUGAUGAUGGAGAUUAAACCAGGUGUCUAUUAUUGACAUGGAGAAUGAGGGCACCAUGCUGUUUAUUGGAAAGACAUCAAGAGCAGAAAUGAUGCAGCACAUCAGAAGCAUUCAGGAGGAGAGAGGCCUGGCCUGGAUGACUAAGAGCCCUCCUUCCGACCACCAUCUUGAGGGGGAGA